rnacentral:tRNA from 1 species
AGCCUAAUAGCUUAACGGUAGAGCGGCCGACUUUUAAUCGGAUGGUGCUGGUUCGAAUCCUGCAAAGGCUG